GAUGAAGAACGCAGCGAAAUGCGAUAAGUAGUGUGAAUUGCAGAAUUCAGUGAAUCAUCGAAUCUUUGAACGCACAUUGCGCCCUUUGGUAUUCCUUAGGGCCUGCCUGUUCGAGCGUCAUUUAAACCUUCAAGCUCAGCUUGGUGUUGGGUGACUGUCCGCUUCACCGCGGACUCGCCUCAAAAUUAUUGGCGGCCGGUACAUUGGCUCUCGAGCGCAGCAGAAACGCGUAACUCGAGGUCCUCGUGCUGGCUCCCAGAAGCUAUCUUCACAAUUUUGACCUCGGAUCAGGUAGGGAUACCCGCUGAACUUAAGCAUAUCAAUAAGCGGAGGA
rnacentral:misc_RNA from 1 species